UACGUAGGGUGCAAGCGUUGUCCGGAAUAUUGGGCGUAAAGAGCUCGUAGGCGGUCCGUCACGUCGGCUGUGAAAACCUGGGGCUCAACCCCGGGCCUGCAGCCGAUACGGCGGACUAGAAUCGGUAGGGGAGACUGGAAUUCCUGGUGUAGCGGUGAAAUGCGCAGAUAUCAGGAGGAACACCGGUGGCGAAGGCGGGUCUCUGGGCCGAUAUUGACGCUGAGGAGCGAAAGCGUGGGAGCGAACAGG
rnacentral:rRNA from 1 species